rnacentral:rRNA from 1 species
UACGAGGGGGGCGAGCGUUGUUCGGAAUUAUUGGGCGUAAAGGGUGCGUAGGCGGUUUGGUAAGUCUGAUGUGAAAUCUAUGGGCUCAACUCAUAGUCUGCAUCGGAAACUGCCGGGCUUGAGUAUGGGAGAGGUGAGUGGAAUUCCUGGUGUAGCGGUGAAAUGCGCAGAUAUCAGGAGGAACACCGGUGGCGAAGGCGGCAUCCUGGACCGGCAUUGACGCUGAGUGAGCGAAAGCCAGGGGAGCAAACGGG